GACGAACGCUGGCGGCGUGCCUAAUACAUGCAAGUAGGACGCAGUUGCGAACGGGUGAUUAACGCGUAGGUAACUACCUAUUAGAAGGGGAUAACUAUUGGAAACGAUAGCUAAUACCGCAUACUAGUAGCUGGACCUGCGUUGUAUUAGCUAGUAGGUAGGGUAAUGGCCUACCUAGGCAAAGAUACAUAGCCGACCUGGGGGGGGGAACGGCCCAACUGGGACUGGGAAACGGCCCCGACUCCUACGGGAGGGAGCAGGAGGGAAUCUUCGGCAAUGGGGGGAAACCUGAACGGGCAACGCCGCGUGAGUGAAGAAGGUUUUCGGAUCGUAAAGCUCUGUUGUUAAGGAAGCGGUACUUAACCAGAAAGGGACGGCUAACUACGUGCCAGCCGCCGCGGUAAUAC
rnacentral:rRNA from 1 species